GGAGGGAUGGCCGAGUGGCUUAAGGCGACGCCCUGCUAAGGCGUUGGACGCAAGUCCGCGUGGGUUCGAAUCCCACUCCCUCCG
rnacentral:tRNA from 2 species